AAAUUAAAAUGGUUUUGCAACGGUGAUCAUCAUUUAUUUGUCUAUAUUGAGAUUUGGACCAUUCAACUCUUGUCUAGAAAAAUAUUGAGCAGAUAGGGACGUCACUGGAGUUAUCUUCGCAAACGCGUGUUCACAGUUUCCCUUGUCAGGAAGUCGCCUAAGAUGAAAGAAUGAAAACGACAGAAACACAAAGAAACAAGGAAAGUUAGUAUGAAACCAGAAUCUCGGGUGCGAGACUUUAUGUCAUUGGAGUUCAUUGUCCCCUCCACCACCAACGCAAACCCUCACGCCAUCGCAAGAAGAAGUCAUCGCGAGAUGAAGCUCCUCGCUUCAUCUCCUUUAUCGCGAAACACUUCCUCGCAAUCUGCAAAACUUGAAACACAGAAAGCCCCAAAUCUCUUCACACCAGAAACCCUAAAUUGCGACUUCGCUCAUCUUCCAACUACCGUGAUGGAGCAACUCCUCCUUUAUCGCGAGCCAUCAUCUUCGUUGACCUGCAAAUCGUGAGCAGCCACCUCGAGCUUCUCACACUACCAGAGCAACACAUCCCCUUGGUUUCCAUUGACAAAUAUGAUUAAUUAAUGUUUUUUUAAGAAUAAAAUCAGAGAUUCUCUCGG